UACGGGGGGAGCAAGCGUUGUUCGGAUUUACUGGGCGUAAAGGGCGCGUAGGCGGCUUCUGGAAGUCGACUGUGAAAUCUCCGGGCUUAACCCGGAAAGGUCAGCCGAUACUGCAGGGCUAGAAUGCAGAAGGGGCAACUGGAAUUCUCGGUGUAGCGGUGAAAUGCGUAGAUAUCGGGAGGAACACCUGCGGCGAAGGCGGGUUGCUGGGCUGACACUGACGCUGAGGCGCGAAAGCGUGGGGAGCAAACGGG
rnacentral:rRNA from 1 species